CUCUCUUCUCUGAUCGUCCUCCACGAGAGACGGCUGGGCAUUUGCUCAUCAAAAUAGAGCUAGAAGUUGCAAAUGUCAUCGCCUAUGGAGCGCAGAUGAAGCCUUUCUUUGUCACCACUGGUCAGCUGUGAAAGGAGCAGAAGCUAGCCGGAAAAUUCGCAAGGUUCAUCGUCAGCACUGGCACUUAAGGAGAUAAAAGAUCCCCAUUAAAGAUCUCAUCAACAAUGUCCACUCCUCCUCUUCCUCUUUCUUUCACCAACUGUAGCCUUAUUUUUUCUUGAACUUAUAGCUUUUAUGGCCUCAAGGAGCGAUUAAUUGAAAACAGAGUCCUACAUCUUGCGAAAAUCAUGCAACAAACAAAGCACAGAACAGAGUUUGAGGAAAUAUAAAUUUGGGGAUCAUUGGAAUCUUGGAAUCGAGGACCGUGCAAAGCCUCAGGUGUACAAUGAAGAGCACAAGAACAAGGAUCUUCAACAACGUGUCACCGCAGCAAGAAACAAAAAUUGAAGAACUGGCUGUCAAAAAAAUGGAACGGCGAUGGAAUCUGCUUCACGUCACGUGCCUAAAAGCAGGAAAAAAUUCUUUCUUGCUUCUUCUUCGUCCAUAUGCACACUGUUUCUGUUGUUAUUUAUCUAUUCUAAGGCGGGGUUAACACUGUUGGGCUUCAGUUUUCAACAUUAGAGUUCUUUUCUUUUGCUGAUUGCUUCAAGUAUUAAUUUUUUUGGUCGCUUUUGUCUUGCUGUUUAGGUUUCACACAUAUACAAACGAGUUGCAGCUUAAAGUGUUGUCGUAAAUGGUUCUGUAAUUGGCGGGUAAAAAUAGGAAAAAUUGGAAGAGCUUGAGACAAUAGAUAAUGUUUCAGUCAUAUGCAUAGAGUAAGCAUUUCUUUGGGUAAAAAGGAAAUCAGUAAUUGCUGAUAUAUGAUAUAAGAAGAAUGUUGAAAUUGAUUAUGAGAUCUACUAAUUAUUGUCUCAAUUAGAAGUUCACGUGGUUCUUAUUCUUAUUAGUUAUUAUGAUAUUGGUAUGGCUUAAAUUUCAGUUUGCUGCAAAACGUGGAAAGUACCAGUAUAAUUGUACUUUUUGACGAAUGAAUCCUUGGUUUCGUUGUUAAAGAUUGUUCAUGAAGUAAGGCUGAAUUUGUUGUUUGUGGCAUCACUUGGAUUCUUUAAAUAUGGGUGACGAUGAAUUCGAUAAGUUUUACUUCCAAAAGAAGUACAUUGAAG